GGUUAAGCGACUAAGCGUACACGGUGGAUGCCCUGGCAGUCAGAGGCGAUGAAGGACGUGCUAAUCUGCGAUAAGCGUCGGUAAGGUGAUAUGAACCGUUAUAACCGGCGAUUUCCGAAUGGGGAAACCCAGUGUGAUUCGUCACACUAUCAUUAACUGAAUCCAUAGGUUAAUGAGGCGAACCGGGGGAACUGAAACAUCUAAGUACCCCGAGGAAAAGAAAUCAACCGAGAUUCCCCCAGUAGCGGCGAGCGAACGGGGAGCAGCCCAGAGCCUGAAUCAGUGUGUGUGUUAGUGGAAGCGUCUGGAAAGGCGCGCGAUACAGGGUGACAGCCCCGUACACAAAAAUGCACAUGCUGUGAGCUCGAUGAGUAGGGCGGGACACGUGGUAUCCUGUCUGAAUAUGGGGGGACCAUCCUCCAAGGCUAAAUACUCCUGACUGACCGAUAGUGAACCAGUACCGUGAGGGAAAGGCGAAAAGAACCCCGGCGAGGGGAGUGAAAAAGAACCUGAAACCGUGUACGUACAAGCAGUGGGAGCACAGAGCAAUCUGUGUGACUGCGUACCUUUUGUAUAAUGGGUCAGCGACUUAUAUUCUGUAGCAAGGUUAACCGAAUAGGGGAGCCGAAGGGAAACCGAGUCUUAACUGGGCGUUAAGUUGCAGGGUAUAGACCCGAAACCCGGUGAUCUAGCCAUGGGCAGGUUGAAGGUUGGGUAACACUAACUGGAGGACCGAACCGACUAAUGUUGAAAAAUUAGCGGAUGACUUGUGGCUGGGGGUGAAAGGCCAAUCAAACCGGGAGAUAGCUGGUUCUCCCCGAAAGCUAUUUAGGUAGCGCCUCGUGAAUUCAUCUCCGGGGGUAGAGCACUGUUUCGGCAAGGGGGUCAUCCCGACUUACCAACCCGAUGCAAACUGCGAAUACCGGAGAAUGUUAUCACGGGAGACACACGGCGGGUGCUAACGUCCGUCGUGAAGAGGGAAACAACCCAGACCGCCAGCUAAGGUCCCAAAGUCAUGGUUAAGUGGGAAACGAUGUGGGAAGGCCCAGACAGCCAGGAUGUUGGCUUAGAAGCAGCCAUCAUUUAAAGAAAGCGUAAUAGCUCACUGGUCGAGUCGGCCUGCGCGGAAGAUGUAACGGGGCUAAACCAUGCACCGAAGCUGCGGCAGCGACGCUUAUGCGUUGUUGGGUAGGGGAGCGUUCUGUAAGCCUGCGAAGGUGUGCUGUGAGGCAUGCUGGAGGUAUCAGAAGUGCGAAUGCUGACAUAAGUAACGAUAAAGCGGGUGAAAAGCCCGCUCGCCGGAAGACCAAGGGUUCCUGUCCAACGUUAAUCGGGGCAGGGUGAGUCGACCCCUAAGGCGAGGCCGAAAGGCGUAGUCGAUGGGAAACAGGUUAAUAUUCCUGUACUUGGUGUUACUGCGAAGGGGGGACGGAGAAGGCUAUGUUGGCCGGGCGACGGUUGUCCCGGUUUAAGCGUGUAGGCUGGUUUUCCAGGCAAAUCCGGAAAAUCAAGGCUGAGGCGUGAUGACGAGGCACUACGGUGCUGAAGCAACAAAUGCCCUGCUUCCAGGAAAAGCCUCUAAGCAUCAGGUAACAUCAAAUCGUACCCCAAACCGACACAGGUGGUCAGGUAGAGAAUACCAAGGCGCUUGAGAGAACUCGGGUGAAGGAACUAGGCAAAAUGGUGCCGUAACUUCGGGAGAAGGCACGCUGAUAUGUAGGUGAAGCGACUUGCUCGUGGAGCUGAAAUCAGUCGAAGAUACCAGCUGGCUGCAACUGUUUAUUAAAAACACAGCACUGUGCAAACACGAAAGUGGACGUAUACGGUGUGACGCCUGCCCGGUGCCGGAAGGUUAAUUGAUGGGGUUAGCGCAAGCGAAGCUCUUGAUCGAAGCCCCGGUAAACGGCGGCCGUAACUAUAACGGUCCUAAGGUAGCGAAAUUCCUUGUCGGGUAAGUUCCGACCUGCACGAAUGGCGUAAUGAUGGCCAGGCUGUCUCCACCCGAGACUCAGUGAAAUUGAACUCGCUGUGAAGAUGCAGUGUACCCGCGGCAAGACGGAAAGACCCCGUGAACCUUUACUAUAGCUUGACACUGAACAUUGAGCCUUGAUGUGUAGGAUAGGUGGGAGGCUUUGAAGUGUGGACGCCAGUCUGCAUGGAGCCGACCUUGAAAUACCACCCUUUAAUGUUUGAUGUUCUAACGUUGACCCGUAAUCCGGGUUGCGGACAGUGUCUGGUGGGUAGUUUGACUGGGGCGGUCUCCUCCUAAAGAGUAACGGAGGAGCACGAAGGUUGGCUAAUCCUGGUCGGACAUCAGGAGGUUAGUGCAAUGGCAUAAGCCAGCUUGACUGCGAGCGUGACGGCGCGAGCAGGUGCGAAAGCAGGUCAUAGUGAUCCGGUGGUUCUGAAUGGAAGGGCCAUCGCUCAACGGAUAAAAGGUACUCCGGGGAUAACAGGCUGAUACCGCCCAAGAGUUCAUAUCGACGGCGGUGUUUGGCACCUCGAUGUCGGCUCAUCACAUCCUGGGGCUGAAGUAGGUCCCAAGGGUAUGGCUGUUCGCCAUUUAAAGUGGUACGCGAGCUGGGUUUAGAACGUCGUGAGACAGUUCGGUCCCUAUCUGCCGUGGGCGCUGGAGAAUUGAGGGGGGCUGCUCCUAGUACGAGAGGACCGGAGUGGACGCAUCACUGGUGUUCGGGUUGUCAUGCCAAUGGCACUGCCCGGUAGCUAAAUGCGGAAGAGAUAAGUGCUGAAAGCAUCUAAGCACGAAACUUGCCCCGAGAUGAGUUCUCCCUGACUCCUUGAGAGUCCUGAAGGAACGUUGAAGACGACGACGUUGAUAGGCCGGGUGUGUAAGCGCAGCGAUGCGUUGAGCUAACCGGUACUAAUGAACCGUGAGGCUUAACCUU
rnacentral:rRNA from 1 species